CAUGUCUAUUUGUAGUUAUAAAUAGUCCAAUCUGCCCACUGAUAAUUAUAUUAAAGGGCCGCAGUAUUCUAACUGUGCAAAGGUAGCAUAAUCGUUAGUUCUUUAAUUGAGAUCUUGUAUGAAUGAUUAGACAAAAAAAUUACUGUCUUUAUAAUAAAGAUUGAAUUUAACUUUUAAGUGAAAAGGCUUAAAUUGUUUAGAGUGACGAUAAGACCCUAUAAAGCUUAAUAUUUUAUAAAAAUGUAAAUAAUAUAAAGUAAUAAAAUUUUAAAUAUUAUGAAUAUUUUAUUGGGGUGAUAGAAGUAAAAUUAUUGUAACUGCUUUAGAUUAAGACAAUUAUAAUUGGUUGAUUAAUAUUAAAUGAUCCUAUAAUAUAUAGAGUAUAAGAUUAAGUUACUUUAGGGAUAACAGCGUUAUUUUUUUUAAGAGUUCUUAUCGAAAGAAAAGAUUGCGACCUCGAUGUUGAAUUAAAAUAUCUAUAUAAUUGUAGGAGUUAUAUUAGAAGGUCUGUUCGACCUUUAAAUUUUUACAUGAUUUGAGUUCAGACCGGUUUAAACCAGGUCGGUUUCUAUCUUCUAAUUUAAAUUAAUUACUUUA
rnacentral:rRNA from 1 species